rnacentral:rRNA from 1 species
AUUGAACGCUGGCGGCAGGCCUAACACAUGCAAGUCGAACGAGUGGCGGACGGGUGCGUACUGUCUGGGAAAAUGUCCGAUGGUGGGGGAUAACUACUGGAAACGGUUGCUAAUACCGCAUACCAUCGGAUGUGCCCAGAGGGGAUUGGCUAGUAGGUGGGGUAACGGCUCACCUAGGCGACGAUCACUAGCUGGUCUGAGAGGAUGACCAGCCACAAUGGAACUGAGACACGGUCCAGACUCCUACGGGAGGCAGCAGUGGGGAAUAUUGCACAAUGGGCGCAAGCCUGAUGCAGCCAUGCCGCGUGUAUGAAGAAGGCCUUCGGGUUGUAAAGUACUUUCAGCGAGGAGGCGUUACUCGAAGAAGAAGCACCGGCUAACUCCGUGCCAGCAGCCGCGGUAAUUC